rnacentral:lncRNA from 1 species
AUAGGGGAUGUUCUUAAGGAGGAGUCGGAGGGGGGGGGGGGGGGGGGGGGGGGGGGGGGGGGGGGGGGGGGGGGGGGGGGGGGGGGGGGGGGGGGGGGGGGGUAUAAAUAUCUCAUUCAUUCAUUCACUUCCUACUCUGAACGCAGUAAGGACCAAAAGGGAGGCAAUGUGGAGAGUCUCAGCGCUCAUCGUGAUUGUUUUCUUUCUGGGUGGAGUAGGCGGUACCGUGAAUUCUAAAGAGUGCAUCCCGGUAAACUGCACGAGCGAUUCCGCCUCACUUACUAUGGAUAAAAGCAUCAUUGACGAACGCAAAGAUUGUGAGCACAGGAUCUACAGUGAGUCGGAUGAUUAUGUGGGUGAUGCUAAUACGUCAGGGGUCUUGAAUCUUUCAUGCGACUUUCAAAAAAGGACCUGGAAGAUCGACUGUCACAACAAGAAGAGAGAUUUUGAGGCCUGUUUCACGAUUGAACGGGACUCUAAAAUAGUUUAUGAAGACAUGCGCAAGAACAAACAUCUCCUUGUUCUGCCGGUGGUGGUGGCUGCUGUUGUUGUUGGGAUCUACUUUUAUAUCCGCUACAGGAAAAAUUAAAGAUGGCAACAGAAACCCAGCUGCUGAAAACCAACACAGUAAGUACGACCAUCACAAAUGAACCUGAAAUAGAAAAACCUGUAACUGUAGCUGUACACACUCUAAUCCUUCUCUGUUUUUUUUUCUUUUUUUUCAAAGAUUCCCCUAUUUGAUGAUGAAGAACCAGCAGUGGUUCUUCUCUUAUUCCAACUUUUCUGUCUGCCUGGCUACUUUUUUUUAAACUUUAUAAUAUCUUAGGGUAGAUUUAAUGCAAUUUAAAAAAUAGUACAUUUUAAUGUGCUGAGUAACACCUUAAAAAAUAGUUUUUAAAAUGAACAUAAUUUAUGAAUUUAUGAAAUAAUCACAGACAAGAACCUAGCUUUUCGGCGGCUUUAGUCACAAACCAAACCAAUGCUAACACCAAUCUAAGCAAAUAUAUACUACACUACGAUUCUGUAUAUCGACGCUGUCCAAUAAAAACACUUAUCUCCAAAACA